GUCGGAGGUGGCGGCGAACUUCUCCCUGAUCAGGUCCUCCAUCACCUCGGGCUCCAGUCCGCAGUGCUCGAAGAAGCUGUCCAAGCCCGAGCAGGCUCGCGAGUAGCGGUAGCUCAGAUUGUAGGUGGCAAAAUGUCAACGAAGUGAAUGGCAAUUCUCUGCUCUUAUUGGUUAGAGAGACUGUGAGGAAACAAUGCUGACGUCUUACUGGAAAGUAAGUGUGUGAACAGUACAUUAGGGAAGAUGACAUUGAAGGAUGACAAUUAUAUUUCUGACCUCAGAAUUUGAAUACUCCACCCUCACGGGUUUUAAUGAUGGGAUGAAAGCUCCUUUGGGAUUCUCUUAAAUAAAUGGAUCAGUGAGAUGGAUAUGGUUAAAUUGCACCUUACAGAAAACAAGACAGUAUAGCACAGGAGCAGAUCCUUCAGCUCAUUGUGUUACUCCAAACUAAUUAAAUGAGUAAUAAAGCAUCUAAUUAACACAAGUCUCAUUUCCCUCCAUUCUCUACACACUUAUGUGCCUAAGUAAGAGCAGCUUAAACACCUCCAUCCUAUUUGCCUGCACUACCAUACCUGACAGUGCAUUCCAGGCACUCUCUACACUCUGUGUCGAGAAAAACCUGGCCACACAUCUCAUUUGACCUUAAGCCAUCUCUCAUUAAAUGCAGGCCCUCUAGUAUUUUAACCCUGGGGAAAAUAUACUGACUGUCUGCUUUAUUGAUGUCUCUCAUAAUCUUAUACAUUUCUAUCAGGGCUUCCCUCGGCCUCCAGUGCUGCAGAAAGAACAACCCAAGUUUGUCCAAGCUCCUGAUUGAAAUGCCUUCAAAUCCAGACAGAAUGACAGUAAAAAUCUUCUGCACCCUCUCCUAAGUCUCCAUAUUUUCCUAUAAUGGAGCAACCACUAUACUCCACAUGUGGCCUAAGCAGCAGUUUAAAAGCUGCAGAAUAACCUUCUGACUCUUGAACACAAUGCCUUGACUAAUAACAGUAAGCAUGGUAUAUGCCCGCUUUACCACCUUAUGCAGCCACUUUCAGGAAUUAUUGACCUAGCCCCCAAGACCCCAACCUUGGCGUCAAAAGAACGUUAAGUAAAAUUUAGAAAAGUUUUAAUGUUUUGCAGUUCAACAUCUCAAAAGUGAAGCUAUUCACAUUUCUUGUACAAAACUUUGCGGGGAAAAAACUCAGCAAAACACACAAAACUGCAUGUGCAGAUUCUAACCAUGCUGCAGCAUAACUCCCAAGGUUGAAACAUUUGGUUCUGCACAGAAUUCUAAACCAAUCUGAGCUACUUUGAUAUUGGGUGAUGGUGGUCUUAGUCUGUGCCUUAACCUCUCACUGACACAAUACUGGUUUGAGAUGAGAUAUUGCUAUAGCA